CCUACGGGAGACAGCAGUGAGGAAUAUUGGUCAAUGGACGAGAGUCUGAACCAGCCAAGUAGCGUGAAGGAUGACUGCCCUAUGGGUUGUAAACUUCUUUUAUAUGGGAAUAAAAUGUUCCACGUGUGGGAUUUUGUAUGUACCAUAUGAAUAAGGAUCGGCUAACUCCGUGCCAGCAGCCGCGUUAAUACGGAGGAUCCGAGCGUUAUCCGGAUUUAUUGGGUUUAAAGGGAGCGUAGGUGGAUUGUUAAGUCAGUUGUGAAAGUUUGCGGCUCAACCGUAAAAUUGCAGUUGAAACUGGCAGUCUUGAGUACAGUAGAGGUGGGCGGAAUUCGUGGUGUAGCGGUGAAAUGCUUAGAUAUCACGAAGAACUCCGAUUGCGAAGGCAGUUCACUGGACUGCAACUGACACUGAGGCUCGAAAGUGUGGGUAUCAAACAGGAUUAGAUACCCGUGUAGUC
rnacentral:rRNA from 1 species